rnacentral:rRNA from 1 species
UUAAAGCUACUCUCAGUUCGGAUUGUAGGCUGAAACUCGCCUACAUGAAGCUGGAGUUACUAGUAAUCGCAGAUCAGAAUGCUGCGGUGAAUGCGUUCCCGGGUCUUGUACACACCGCCCGUCACACCACGGGAGUUGGAGACGCCCGAAGCCGAUUAUCUAACCUUUUGGAAGAAGUCGUCGAAGGUGGAAUCAAUAACUGGGGUGAAGUCGUAACAAGGUAGCCGUAUCGGAAGGUGCGGCUGGAUC